GCGGGGCAUGGUGGUGCAAGCCUGUAAUCCCAGCUACUUGGGAGGCAGAGGUAGGAGAAUCGCUUGAACCCAGGAGCUGGAGGUUGCAGUGAGCCAAGAUCGUGCCACUGCACUCCAGCCUGGGUGACAGAGCGAGACUCUGUCUCAA
rfam:Homo sapiens chromosome 16, GRCh38 reference primary assembly.